UUAAGUUCAGCGGGUAUCCCUACCUGAUCCGAGGUCAACCUGAGAAGUGAUUACAGGUAGACCGGGUCUCCAGGCCACUGCGGCGCGUGCUACACGGAGGUAAGCUCAUUGCACCGAGGGUCCUGCAGACACCGUCAUUGUCUUUCGGACCGGUCGUCCACAGGUGGACGACCAGAGGUCCAACACCAAGCCAGGGGCUU
rnacentral:misc_RNA from 1 species